rnacentral:precursor_RNA from 1 species
UCUAGCUUGUAUAUUGGGGUUUAUCAAAAAUUUUGGUUGGGGC